UUGUGGUUAAAAAGCUCGUAGUUGGAUCUCAACAGCCUUGAAAGUGGUUAACUUUGUAGUUUUACUGCUUUAUAGGCUGUGCUUUUGCUGGAGGUUUAGGGGUGCUCUUGAUCGAGUGUCUCUGGAUGCCAGCAGGUUUACUUUGAAAAAAUUAGAGUGCUCAAAGCAGGCUAAAAUGCCUGAAUAUUCGUGCAUGGAAUAAUAGAAUAGGAUGUCGAUCCUAUUUUGUUGGUUUUCGGGACUCGACAUAAUGAUAAAUAGGGACAGUCGGGGGCAUUUGUAUUCAAACGACAGAGGUGAAAUUCUUGGACCGUUUGAAGACAAACUACUGCGAAAGCAUUUGCCAAGAAUGUUUUCAUUAAUCAAGAACGAAAGUUAGAGGUUCGAAGGCGAUUAGAUACCGCCCUAGUUCUAACCAUAAACGAUGCCAGCUAGCGAUCUGCCUGCGUUUUUACUGUAAACUGGGCAGGAAGCUUCCGGGAAACCAAAGCAUUUGGGUUCCAGGGGAAGUAUGGUUGCAAAGCUGA
rnacentral:rRNA from 1 species